UACGUAGGGUGCAAGCGUUAAUCGGAAUUACUGGGCGUAAAGCGUGCGCAGGCGGUGAUGUAAGACAGGUGUGAAAUCCCCGGGCUUAACCUGGGAACUGCAUUUGUGACUGCAUCGCUGGAGUGUGGCAGAGGGGGGUGGAAUUCCGCGUGUAGCAGUGAAAUGCGUAGAGAUGCGGAGGAACACCGAUGGCGAAGGCAGCCCCCUGGGCUAACACUGACGCUCAGGCACGAAAGCGUGGGGAGCAAACAGG
rnacentral:rRNA from 1 species